rnacentral:rRNA from 1 species
CAUUUGGCUUAUAAUUGAAGUCUAGUAUGAACGAAGUUAUGGGGGUAGGCUGUUUCAAACAAGUAGUUCUAAUUUGCCUGGGGGGUGAAAAUGCCCCCGCAUAGAUAAAAGACGAGAAGACCCUUGAAAUUUUUAGCACACUAGUUCAGGUUUUGUAUUUUUGUUGGGGCGACAAAGUAGCAUACAACCUACUGAUUUGCAUGGGCAACGUUUAGGUGGAAAAAAUAAAUUACUCUAGGGAUAACAGCAUAAUAUUUUGAAGUUUG